rnacentral:rRNA from 1 species
ACGCUGGCGGCGUGCCUAAUACAUGCAAGUAGAACGCUGAAGAGAGGAGCUUGCUCUUCUUGAAUGAGUUGCGAACGGGUGAGUAACGCGUAGGUAACCUGCCUUGUAGCGGGGGAUAACUAUUGGAAACGAUAGCUAAUACCGCAUAACAAUGGGUGACACAUGUCAUUUAUUUGAAAGGGGCAAUUGCUCCACUACAAGAUGGACCUGCGUUGUAUUAGCUAGUAGGUGAGGUAACGGCUCACCUAGGCGACGAUACAUAGCCGACCUGAGAGGGUGAUCGGCCACACUGGGACUGAGACACGGCCCAGACUCCUACGGGAGGCAGCAGUAGGGAAUCUUCGGCAAUGGACGGAAGUCUGACCGAGCAACGCCGCGUGAGUGAAGAAGGUUUUCGGAUCGUAAAGCUCUGUUGUAAGUCAAGAACGAGUGUGAGAGUGGAAAGUUCACACUGUGACGGUAGCUUACCAGAAAGGGACGGCUAACUACGUGCCAGCAGCCGCGGUAAUACGUAGGUCCCGAGCGUUGUCCGGAUUUAUUGGGCGUAAAGCGAGCGCAGGCGGUUUGAUAAGUCUGAAGUUAAAGGCUGUGGCUCAACCAUAGUUCGCUUUGGAAACUGUCAAACUUGAGUGCAGAAGGGGAGAGUGGAAUUCCAUGUGUAGCGGUGAAAUGCGUAGAUAUAUGGAGGAACACCGGUGGCGAAAGCGGCUCUCUGGUCUGUAACUGACGCUGAGGCUCGAAAGCGUGGGGAGCGAACAGGAUUAGAUACCCUGGUAGUCCACGCCGUAAACGAUGAGUGCUAGGUGUUGGAUCCUUUCCGGGAUUCAGUGCCGCAGCUAACGCAUUAAGCACUCCGCCUGGGGAGUACGACCGCAAGGUUGAAACUCAAAGGAAUUGACGGGGGCCCGCAC